rnacentral:rRNA from 1 species
UGGUGAUAAAAGCAAAAGGGAAACACCUGUAUCCAUACCGAACACAGAAGUUAAGCCUUUUAACGCUGAAAGUACUAGUUUGGAGACGAACUGGGAGGAUAGGAAGUUGCC